CGACCUCAGAUCAGGUGGGACUCCCCGCCGAAUUUAAGCAUAUUAGUAAGCGGAGGAAAAGAAACUAACAAGGAUUCCCCUAGUAGCUGCGAGCGAAGAGGGAAAAGCCCAGCACUGAAUCCCGAAGGCCUCGCCUUUAGGGAGAUGUGGUGUUUAGGAGUGCCCGAUUAACCCGGGGCCCGCGCACCGCGUUCAAGUCCAUCUUGAACGGGGCCAAGGUCCGUAGAGGGUGCCAGGCCCGUAGGCGACCGGUGCCGACCCCGGGUGGGCUCCUCCCUAGAGUCGGGCUGCUUGAGAGUGCAGCCCUAAGCGGGUGGUAAACUCCAUCUAAGGCUAAAUGCAACCACGAGACCGAUAGAGAACAAGUACCGUGAGGGAAAGUUGAAAAGAACUUUGAAGAGAGAGUUCAAGAGUACGUGAAACCGCUCAGGGGUAAACGGAAAAGACCCGAAACACCGAAAAGGGAGAUUCACGUCUUCUCGCGGGCGUCGGCCCUCGGUCGGGGGAUGGCCUCACGCCCCGCCCGGUUCGUCCGUGGCGGCGGGUGGGCUGCCCCCUCCGGGGUGUCGGCUCCGCGGGGGACCGCACUUCUCCCCCAGUAGGACGUCGCGACCCGCUCUGCGGCGGUCUAACGGCCGGUAGAACGCCUGGCCGGGGCCCUCCCCUCGCGGGUCGGCUCCCGGCCAGAUCUCCGGACCCGCGGCCGUCGUCUCAGGGCGGUAUGAACGACUGUGGCGAUGGGCCGCUCCUCGCGAGCGCCGGAGUCUCUCCGCAAGCUCGGCCCGGGCCGUCGGGUCGUACCCUCGCGGGUACGCUCGGCGUCCGGCCGGACUGUUGGCGGGCGAGCACUCAGGCCGUUGUCCAUCACGCUCGUCGGCGGCGCUUCAGAUUCGGGCACUUGUCCGACCCGUCUUGAAACACGGACCAAGGAGUCUAGCGUGUGCGCGAGUCACUGGGUGGAAAACCUAAAGGCGCAAUGAAAGUGUCAGGGGGCGCCCCGCGCCCCCGGCGGGAGGAUAGGUCUCCCGGCCUCCGGGCCGGGGCCUCGCACUCCCGGGGCGUCUCAUUCUCGUUUCGAGUCGAGACGCACCAGGAGCGCACACGCUGUUACCCGAAAGAUGGUGAACUAUGCCUGGCCAGGACGAAGCCAGGGGAAACCCUGGUGGAGGUCCGAAGCGAUUCUGACGUGCAAAUCGAUCGUCUGAGCUGGGUAUAGGGGCGAAAGACCAAUCGAAUCAUCUAGUAGCUGGUUCCCUCUGAAGUUUCCCUCAGGAUAGCUGGCUCUCGGGUGGAGACGAGUCUCAUCCGGUAGAGCGAAUGAUUAGAGGUGAUGGGGUCGAAACGACUUCAACCUAUUCUCAAACUCCCAAUAGAUGAGAGCCCCGGCUUGCUUGAAGGUGAAGCCGCGGGACUCGGAUCGGAGAGGCCAAGUGGGCCAAUUUUGGUAAGCAGAACUGGCGCUGUGGGAUGAACCAAACGCGGAGUUAAGGCGCCUGAUUCGACGCUCAUCUGAAACCAUGAAAGGCGUUGGUUGCUUAAGACAUCAGGACGGUGGCCAUGGAAGUCGGAAUCCGCUAAGGAGUGUGUAACAACUCACCUGACGAAGCAACUAGCCCUGAAAAUGGAUGGCGCUGUAGCGUCGUGCCUAUACUCCGCCGUCAACGGCAGAGCGGGCGGUCCCGCAAGGGGCGUCGCCGUUACGCCUUGACGAGUAAGAGGGUCGCGGCGGUGUGCGCGGAAGGGUCUGGGCGUGAGCCCGCCUGGAGCCGCCGCCGGUGCAGAUCUUGGUGGUAGUAGCAAAUACUCCAGCGAGGCCCUGGAGGACUGAUGUGGAGAAGGGUUUCUUGUGAACAGCUGUUGCACAAGAGUCAGUCGAUCCUAAGCCCUAGGAGAAAUCCGAAGCGAUGGUUUGCCGUUAACUCUCUCAAUGUGCCCCCUCUCUCGCUCUCUCGGGCGCUCGCUCCCCCCCGGCCCGCUCACCCUCUCCCCAGCCCUUCGGGGUGGAGAGAGCGGUGGCGCGGUCCCGGCGGCGGGAGCGUCGGCGUUCCCCGAGAAGAGUGAAAAGAGGGGCAGUCGUGAGCCGGCACCGUCCGGGCGAAAGGGAAUCUGGUUCCUAUUCCAGAACCCGGCCGCGGAACCGCUCCAAUUCGGGCCCUCAUCCGAGGACUCGUCGGGGUGACCCAAAAUGACCCGGAGAAGCCGUAGGGAGGUCCAGGGAGAGUUGUCUCUUCUCUAUAAGCGUUCGAGUUCCCUGGAAGCCUCUAGGAGGGAGAUAGGGUUUGGAACGCGAAGAGCACCGCACUUACGGCGGUGUCUGGAUCUUCCCCUCGGACCUUGAAAAUCCGGGCGAGGGCCACGAGGAACACCGCGCCGGCUCGUACCCAUAUCCGCAGCAGGUCUCCAAGGUGAAUAGCCUCUAGUCGAUAGAACAAUGUAGGUAAGGGAAGUCGGCAAACCCGAUCUGUAACUUCGGGAUAAGGAUUGGCUCUGAGGAUCGUGG
rnacentral:rRNA from 1 species